UUACUGAAUAUAUGGUAGGAAUACAAUGUAUUACUACUUUGUCAAAGUGAUAUAUAAUUAUAUAUUUACUUCAUAGUGUCUUGGGGUUACGACAGCAUUAUAAAAAUCCAGGUCUUCCACACAGAGCUGUAAAAAUCAACCUUGCAACAAAACCAGAAUGUGUAUUAGGAGUUGAAUCCAAAAUCCAAGUGUUUUAAAAUAUCAAAGGAUACAUGGAAAGCGUGUCAAAGUCAGUUUAGACUAAUGUGAAUUAAAAAAACCUGGAGGUUUUAGGGGAAUAGAAGGAAAUUGGCACAAUGGCUUGUUUGGUACUGAGUCAUCCAUAGAGCUCAAAUCCUCUAGGUCCUAAAUCUGGUCACAAACUUCUUCCCACCCCAUUGGAUGGAACACAAUAGGAUCAAAGUGACUCUGAUUUGUCUGAAAUAAGUAAUUCUGAAACUUUUUGUCCUUAUAAUACCAGUAUGUGGUUCUUGGCUUCAUUAUUAUUGGGAAUGUCUACUCGCAGGUGUAGGCCAUUUUUGGUUAUUCAAGGGGCUGGUUUCACAAGUAGGAGGAAUCCUACUGCAGUCAGGAAGUGGUGCUUCAUGGAGGCUCUCUAGAUAGUAUUAGUUUCAUGGGGGUUUGGGAUGUCUUUUUUCUGUAUCACUAUUAUAUGAGGUGUCAUGGAUGCUGAUACCUUCCAGAAGCACAGAAUUCUGGGAAAAAAAUACCCAUAGGAAAGCAAUUAAGAAUUUUUUACUUCAUCUUCAGCUAGAGCACUAAGUUCAGCAUAUCACCAAUCUAUCCUGCCUUUGAACUGACACAAUAUUUUGUUAAAGCAAAGAUGGAUAGGAAACAAAUGUUCUAUAUGGUAUGCACAGUCUCUUUCCUAGUAAAGCUUAACAUUUAGAAACUUGAAAAUGAGCUUCUCUGCCAGGUCCUGCUUUAUAUGCAAUUGAAUCAAAGAUCUAGAGCUGAACAACCUCUUCUCUUAUCUUCCAGAAAUCGAAGUUCUCACUUAGGGUUGGUGCUGUCUCAUUUAUAAUUCAGAUCUCAUUUCACUUCUUAAGAGAUGUCCCUGAAGUGCCAAAUUUUAAAACAGAAUAAAUAAAUUUCUACUCUAAGUAAAAUGCAUUAAUCUAUCCAUUAUAAACAUAAUAAAUUAAAUAAAUAGAUCUAUAAUGCAAAUUGAGGCUUGCAGUUCGUAGCUGACAUCUACUACAAGCUCUACAGCAAAACUACUGCUCUGAGUCAGAUAAACAGGAUCUAUAACAUAUAUGGGAAAAUAAAGUUCUUCAUUCAAUAUAAAUAUACUCAGAAAACUGUUUAAGCUACUCAGAGGAAACACAAAUAUUCCCUCUUCUCAAUAGGCAUAAUAAUUCCAAAUUUUUGCAAUAAUUUAAUCCCCAGGAUUUGGAUACCAUAUUCAACACUGAAGGGUAAAUAUAUGCAAAAAUAUCAAAUAUAAUUCCUCUUUUUAUAUGAGGAUGCCCAAGUAUUGAACUGAAAUGAGGGAGAGGAGAUUUAACCAUCUCUCUGAUAUUGGAGGUAGCGGUGGUGAGUUAAUUCUCUGUCUCAUCUUCUUUCUUCUUGUCCUCCUUGUAUUACUGCACACUCUCAUAAUUUUUUUGAAUAAAGUUGUUUAAAGGCAUGCAGCACAUAGGUGAGGGUGGUUUAAUUUUUUCCUGUGGCUGAGAUGUGCAUCCUUCAUGCAAGUGCCCUCGUUUUCAGGCUAGUGGACACCGUCCUCCUGACGUUUUCUUUCUUUUGGAACUGUGUGUGACAUGUCCGCAGUUCCAAAUUAAUGGGGACAGAAAAGAAGAGACUGGGAACAGGAAUUAAAUAGUCAAGAGGGCAGAUAAAUUUGCUUCCUUCAUAUCCUUUUUCUUCUCCAAGUCUCAGGAUCUUUCUGUAACAUAUUUCACAUUAUCCAUCACAUCCAGGGACUUCAUGACUCAUUACCUCAUUUUUCCAAGAGGUGAGCCUCCAGGGAUGUGCCUGCUCAUGACCCAGAGAAAAGGAAGGUAGAGUCAGAUAUUCCGUCUACCACGAAGCACAGGAUUUCCAAAUCUCAACAUUUUACUUUGCAUUCAAAACUUUUCUUUAAACCUGAAUGGUUUUUAUUUUUUUUAAUCACUGGAGAAAAAAAUUCUAGACAGUUCUAUCUACUUUCAAAUGGCUUAGUGAUCUCAGAGUCAUAAAUUUAAUUUUCUUUUAGUUAAAGUACCAUUAGCUUGUUAUUUCAAAAAGUUGGGUUAUUUCAAAAAGACUUAAUUAUGCAAUUUCCUUUACUUUUUCACUACAGUAAACCUGAAUAGUGAAUUAUACCAAGUUCAUCGAAAACUAGAAGGGAGAUUUGUAAUCCAGCAUUUUAAAACUUUACCACAUAUGCUUUUUUCUUGCUCUGAUUGUUAUUUCCAUAACAGAAAUUCCUAUAGAAUCAAAUUGUGAAUGUAAGAUGCACAAUAAAUGCAGGAAAAGAACUUUGCCAAGGCUUAUUGUUGGUUUUGAUUGUUUGUAAACAGUGUUACUGUUUAUAAAUUUCACUACAUGCAAACUCCAACUGUUAAGAAAAAUCUGUCCAUGUAUGUUGAUGGAAGGUAGUCCAGGGAGCCUCUCAUGAAUAACAUAUUGACUGAAUCUAAGUUCCUGUGUUCAAUAUAUUGGUUUCUCUUUUCACAUCUAAAUAUUCUUUAAAACAAUAAAAUGUGAGGAAAAGAAUGAAUGAAAAUUUUGCAUAGGUUUCUCUGCAUAAUUUCAGCUGUCUUUUCCUCAAGAUAUUACUUGCUUCAAGUGGCUUCAACACUAUUUCUUAAUAAUCCUGGAGCUUCCAAAAACUAAUUGAUUUUCUUUACUAACCACCAGGUGGCAAUCAUAAACUUUCAUAAACUUAGCCUGCUCCAUCAGCUCUCCAGAAGCAGCUGCUGCAGACAGAAAAUGUGCUACAAGCAGAAAGCAGAAAAAGGGCUUUGAGGAAGAUAUUGCAAAUCUAUGGCAAGCAGAGAAAGAGAUUCCGUCUCUUCCCUCUUAUGUCAUUUGGAUUUUAAAGAGCUGAGAGCCCCAUAACAGAAGCUUGACUUUCAACUUCAUCAUCACACUGAAAAAUAAAGAUGGAAAGCUCUGAUCUGUA